rnacentral:rRNA from 1 species
AGAGCGAACGCUGGCGGCAGGCUUAACACAUGCAAGUCGAGCGGGCGUAGCAAUACGUCAGCGGCAGACGGGUGAGUAACGCGUGGGAACAUACCUUUUGGUUCGGAACAACACAGGGAAACUUGUGCUAAUACCGGAUAAGCCCUUACGGGGAAAGAUUUAUCGCCGAAAGAUUGGCCCGCGUCUGAUUAGCUAGUUGGUGAGGUAACGGCUCACCAAGGCGACGAUCAGUAGCUGGUCUGAGAGGAUGAUCAGCCACAUUGGGACUGAGACACGGCCCAAACUCCUACGGGAGGCAGCAGUGGGAAUAUUGGACAAUGGGCGCAAGCCUGAUCCAGCCAUGCCGCGUGAGUGAUGAAGGCCCUAGGGUUGUAAAGCUCUUUGUGCGGGAAGAUAAUGACGGUACCGCAAGAAUAAGCCCCGGCUAACUUCGCGCCAGCAGCCGC